GGCUUGGUAGCUUAGUUGGUAAAGCACUUAUCUAACGAACAAGGGACGUGAGUUAAAAUCUCACCUGAGCUG
rnacentral:tRNA from 1 species